UUUCCGUAGGUGAACCUGCGGAAGGAUCAUUACUGUAUAAACAACUCCCAAGGCCUGUCGAUGAUACCUAUGGUCGCGCAAGCGCGAGUGCCCUCACACCUAUCCAUCCCACCCCCAAGUGCACCACCGCGUGGCUCCACCUUUGGUUUGUACGGAGGGGGGCUUAAGUUGUCUUACAAAAUUUGUAAGCACUGUAGACUGUAUUUCUUGUUUUUGUGAUCACGCAAUAAAAACAACUAUCAACAACGGAUCCCUUGGCUACCGCCUCGAUGAAGAACA
rnacentral:misc_RNA from 1 species